rnacentral:lncRNA from 1 species
AGAUUAUUUAUGAAGCAGAUACUUUGAAAUCAUUAGAGACCGAAGAAGAGAGCAAGGAAUCUAGUAGUUCCAGCUCUGAGGAAGAAGAAGAAGCUGAAGAAGAGGAAGUUUCAGAGUCAGAUGCUGAAAAGGAGGCAGAGAGCAAAGAAGAGUCUGUUGCAAACCAUUCCAAUCAUGAAUCCAGAAUUCUCAUCACAGAACAAACACCACCCCCAGAACAUAACACUUUUACGAUGGCUCCUGCUAGAAAAUGUAGUUCGUUGCUCAACAAGCCUGAGGAACAAAAAGAUGAAUCACCAUCAUCAUGGAG